UCCCAGCUGACAAAUCCCAAAUAGAACGAAACACGCGUCCUGGAU
rnacentral:hammerhead_ribozyme from 1 species